CGGAGAGUUUGAUCCUGGCUCAGGACGAACGCUGGCGGCGUGCCUAAUACAUGCAAGUCGAACGAACUCUGGUAUUGAUUGGUGCUUGCAUCAUGAUUUACAUUUGAGUGAGUGGCGAACUGGUGAGUAACACGUGGGAAACCUGCCCAGAAGCGGGGGAUAACACCUGGAAACAGAUGCUAAUACCGCAUAACAACUUGGACCGCAUGGUCCGAGUUUGAAAGAUGGCUUCGGCUAUCACUUUUGGAUGGUCCCGCGGCGUAUUAGCUAGAUGGUGGGGUAACGGCUCACCAUGGCAAUGAUACGUAGCCGACCUGAGAGGGUAAUCGGCCACAUUGGGACUGAGACACGGCCCAAACUCCUACGGGAGGCAGCAGUAGGGAAUCUUCCACAAUGGACGAAAGUCUGAUGGAGCAACGCCGCGUGAGUGAAGAAGGGUUUCGGCUCGUAAAACUCUGUUGUUAAAGAAGAACAUAUCUGAGAGUAACUGUUCACGUACUGACGGUAUUCAACCAGAAAGCCACGGCUAACUACGUGCCAGCAGCCGCGGUAAUACGUAGGUGGCAAGCGUUGUCCGGAUUUAUUGGGCGUAAAGAGAAUGUAGGCGGUUUAUUAAGUUUGAAGUGAAAGCCCUCGGCUCAACCGAGGAAGUGCUUCGAAAACUGGUAAACUUGAGUGCAGAAGAGGAAAGUGGAACUCCAUGUGUAGCGGUGGAAUGCGUAGAUAUAUGGAAGAACACCAGUGGCGAAGGCGGCUUUCUGGUCUGUAACUGACGCUGAGAUUCGAAAGCAUGGGUAGCAAACAGGAUUAGAUACCCUGGUAGUCCAUGCCGUAAACGAUGAGUGCUAAGUGUUGG
rnacentral:rRNA from 1 species